AUAGGAGAAUGUGUUGUUAUCAGCACUUCCUUGACUGAGAAUCAAGAAUAAAGACAGGGUGGGAAGACGACAUUGCAAAGAUUGCUAAAAACAUAAUUGAAGAACAAAGCCCAGAGCAGCUAUACGUUAUUCGUGGGAAAUUGCAGAACUUGAUAGAGCACAAUGUAUCUGCUGAGUUCAUCUUUAAUACAGUGGUUGAAGAACUAAAGAGUAAUUUGGAUGACCAAUUCCACAAAGAAAUGGACACUCUGAAAAUGAAGUACAGUAUAAAUUACAAUGAUCUCGAACAGGGUAAGAGUGACAAUGAUGCAGUGAAAAAGAUUGUUCACAAAUUUAUGAAGAUUGAAGAGUUCAUAGCUAAAUUCAUGAGCUGGUAUAAGACUUCUGUUCUGACGAAAUGAUAUUACAACCCCAUCCUCUCCACAGGUGGUGUUUAGUUUGGAAACAAUUUCCAUUUGAGUGGUAAAGAAUUUAAUGUACUUAAGAGUACUUUUGCGAACAAGCUUGUUAAUAAUUUCGUAUUUCAUUUGUAAAAUAAAGUGGCAAUCUAGCCGAAUCAUACAUUUUAUGUGCUUAAGAAAUUCUAUCUCCUGUAGAAUUAUGUAAGAUAAAUAAAAAGGCACUAAAGAGGUGUAUGCUUUCAUUGUAUUGGAAGGGUACUUCUAAAACUAAUACACCAUAUUUGACAC